GAGGCUCUGCAGAGAACAGGAACACCAUCACGCCCCGCCCCGCCGGGCCAUGCGCCGCGGUUCAAUCACGGUGCGGCACCCGAGCGUCUCCACUGCAAUGUGACCUGCCGCUGUGAAUCUUCUUUGUUGCCUUUUUUUUUUAACCGUAGAGGGGAUGGGGGGUGUUCGGGAACCUGGGCUUGAAGCAGCAGGUACUACACCAAGUUGAGCAGAAAACGCUCUGGGCUGGAAACUCGACCCCGACCGCUGAGACGCCAGGGCACAACCGCUUCGCGUGAGUCUCCAUCCCCUCCCAUGCAACUCAGGGCACUGGGCCAGGUCUCUGAGGAUGCCCACGGUACCCCCCAACUGGAGCCCUGCCUUUACCUGCCUGGGGUCCCAGGCUGGGCUGCCAGUCUGCUGCACCGUGUGCACGUCCGCCUGGCCACACCUGAGUGUCCAUUGUGCGCACACACGCACACGCACGUACACACGCACACCCCUUAGGAGAUGAAGGGUCAGAGAGCAGGUGCUCAGGACCAGCACCUGUUACAGGUCUGGGGCAGCUGCUGCAGUGGGACUGGGACUUCGUGGGACCCACGGACACGGCGGGGGCCGGUGGAGGACCUGCAGGGUACCUUGCUGAGGAGUGAGCUAAGGAGAGGCAGGAAGGCGAGAAUACCACGCUCCCCCGAUCUCCAUUUCCUCGUCUCUGAAACAGAAGCAGCAACGCUAGACCCACGCCCCUCACAGGACAGCAAGUGUCCCACAAGUAAUAGCAGCUGGCAUUCCCGUGUGCCGUGUCGGGGACCAUGCAAAGUGCUCGUUACUUAACGUCACAACAACUCCAAGCUUUAGGGAAAGAAGAGAAUCAAGCAUGGAAGGAGAAAGAAAAGAUAAAACUACAAAAAGAAAACAGACAAGCCUGCUACUGGAGUUGCAGACUUCAGCACCCCUGCCUGACAGCUCACAGGCAGUCGGGGGGAAUACAGACGGCUUGAACACCACCAUCCGUCAACUGGAUCUAACUGAUGUCUACAGAACACUUCCCCCAGUAGGAGUAGAUGACACACUCAAGCUGACAUGGAACACUCACCAAGAAAGAUCACAUGCUGGGUCAUAAUAUUAAAAGGAUAGAAAUCAUAAAAAGUAUGUUCUCUGACCACAGCGGAAUUAAACAGAAAUCAGUAACAGA